GAUGAACGCUGGCGGCGUGCCUAAUACAUGCAAGUCGAGCGAACAGACGAGGAGCUUGCUCCUCUGAUGUUAGCGGCGGACGGGUGAGUAACACGUGGAUAACCUACCUAUAAGACUGGGAUAACUUCGGGAAACCGGAGCUAAUACCGGAUAAUAUUUUGAACCGCAUGGUUCAAUAGUGAAAGACGGUCUUGCUGUCACUUAUAGAUGGAUCCGCGCUGCAUUAGCUAGUUGGUAAGGUAACGGCUUACCAAGGCGACGAUGCGUAGCCGACCUGAGAGGGUGAGCGGCCACACUGGAACUGAGACACGGUCCAGACUCCUACGGGAGGAAGCAGUAGGGAAUCUUCCGCAAUGGGCGAAAGCCUGAAGGAGCAACGCCGCGUGAGUGAUGAAGGUCUUCGGAUCGUAAAACUCUGUUAUUAGGGAAGAACAAAUGUGUAAGUAACUGUGCACAUCUUGACGGUACCUAAUCAGAAAGCCACGGCUAACUACGUG
rnacentral:rRNA from 1 species